rnacentral:rRNA from 1 species
GACAGAGGGUGCAAACGUUGUUCGGAAUUACUGGGCGUAAAGCGUGCGCAGGCGGCGCGUUAAGACAGGUGUGAAAGCCCCGAGCUUAACUUGGGAAUUGCGCUUGUGACUGGCGUGCUGGAGUGUGGCAGAGGGAGGUGGAAUUCCACGUGUAGCAGUGAAAUGCGUAGAGAUGUGGAGGAACACCGAUGGCGAAGGCAGCCUCCUGGGCCAGCACUGACGCUCAUGCACGAAAGCGUGGGGAGCAAACAGG